UUUAUCCUGUGGAUGGAUUAUUUAUCUCACAUAUUACAAUUCUCGAAAUGUUGGUCUUAUUUUAACACUGGUUCUUAAUAGAUUAUACAAACAUGGCUAUAUCCAUAUUGGGUCCUUCUCUUUCUCUGUUCUUUCUGGAAAAAUCAUGGUUCGUGAAAUUUAUUACAUUACAGAAGACAUGUCUAUUAGAAUUCAAGAUGGAUUUAUAAUUUUUCGGUGGUGGAAAAUGUAUAAUCCAAAACAGAAACAACAUG